rnacentral:rRNA from 1 species
UACGUAGGGUGCGAGCGUUAAUCGGAAUACUGGGCGUAAAGCGUGCGCAGGCGGUUGUGCAAGACAGAUGUGAAAUCCCCGGGCUCAACCUGGGAACUGCAUUUGUGACUGCACGGCUGGAGUGCGGCCGAGGGGAUGGAAUUCCGCGUGUAGCAGUGAAAUGCGUAGAUAUGCGGAGGAACACCGAUGGCGAAGGCAAUCCCCCUGGGCCUGCACUGACGCUCAUGCACGAAAGCGUGGGGAGCAAACAGG